AUUACUUACAUUUAUUUUUUAUCGAUGAAUAUGAGCAGCGCUGCAGUUCUAAUAAUCUGAGUCCAUAUUCACCUUUCACCUAAAAGUUGAUUCUAACAUGGGUAUAUAAAUUGAAAUCCUAAUUUAUGACUCGUACAUUUUUCAUAUAAGAGUAAUUAAAAAAUUAAACGGGCAAUUCCAGCAUUAUGGACGUGACAUUUGGAGUCAAAACUUGAAAUAUAAACGCUCAAAGAAUGCAUUUAAUAAUCUCUUACUAUAGGAGUCCCGACAUUAGAAAAAUGUCAGUCUAUAAUUAUUUUAUAUUUUAGAUGAGGGAAAUAUACACGCGUUACGGACGUGACAAAAAAGUCAGUAAGUUUUAGGUGACAACAUGUUUUUUUACAUUACAUUUCGCGAACCAAAAGUAAUACUGCCCACCGAAUGAAGAAGGGUUGUCUCUCCUCAGAGCAUAAAAUAAUAAUUUUAUUUCAUUUUUCGUGUUCGCAUUUAUGAGGAAAAACAACGUUACGGACAUGACCGGUCUGAAAGCGGCACAGAUGACUGCUUUAAAACUUUCACCUCAAGCAAGCUUUUAAUCUACCAAAUAUUGAAAUCUGUGAUACCAGUAUGAAAUGUGAGUCCGCAGCAGAUGUUGAAUCCUCUGUCCCGAUGAAACCCUCCACCUCUCUCAAUGUUUCAGAUCCAGUGUGUGCAAAGAAAGAAUUGGAAAAACAAUAGCAGUGAUUGUGUCGCAGUCUUCAUGAACAUUUGUGGAGAAAAUCCUGAAGAUCUACUCGUGUUUUUAGACACUUUAACACUUCAGUCGUGUUCAAACUGUCAGUCCAAAUCCAAUUUUUGUGCAUAUCUGAUAUUGGAAUCUGUAUUAAGUGUGAACGGCAAAAACCCAUUUCAUGCUACUUCCCUGUGGUUCAGAUUGUUGAUCAAAUGACUCUUGUUGUAUUGGAGAUUCAUUCCUUAAAUUAUAUUUAUUAUUAAGAAAAUAAAUGUAUUUGUCCCACA